UACGGGGGGUGCAAGCGUUAUUCGGAUUUACUGGGCGUAAAGCGCGCGUAGGCGGCCGUUUAAGUCAGAUGUGAAAGCCCGGGGCUUAACCCCGGAAGUGCAUUUGAUACUAUUCGGCUUGAGUAUGGGAGAGGGAAGUGGAAUUCCUGGUGUAGAGGUGAAAUUCGUAGAUAUCAGGAGGAACACCGGUGGCGAAGGCGACUUCCUGGACCAAUACUGACGCUGAGGCGCGAAGGCGUGGGGAGCAAACAGGAUUAGAUACCCUGGUAGUCCACGCAGUAAACGGUGAUCACUAGGUGUAGCGGGUAUUGACCCCUGCUGUGCCGCAGCUAACGCAUUAAGUGAUCCGCCUGGGGAGUACGGCCGCAAGGUUAAA
rnacentral:rRNA from 1 species